rnacentral:rRNA from 1 species
CCUACGGGAGGCUGCAGUGGGGGAUAUUGCACAAUGGGGGAAACCCUGAUGCAGCGACGCCGCGUGGGUGAAGAAGCGCCGCGGCGCGUAAAGCCCUGUCAGCAGGGAAGAAAAUGACGGUACAUGAAGAAGAAGCCCCGGCUAACUACGUGCCAGCAGCCGCGGUAAGACGGAGGGGGCAAGCGUUAUCCGGAUUUACUGGGUGUAAAGGGGGCGCAGGCGGCGAGGCCAGCCAGGAGGGAAAGCCCGGGGCCCAACCCCGGGACUGCUCUUGGAACUGCGUGGCUAGUGUGCCGGAGGGGCAGGCGGACUUCCUGGUGUAGCGGUGCACUGCGUCUAUAUCAGGAGGCACCCCGGUGGCGAAGGCGGCCUGCUGUACUGCAACUGACGUUGCGGCCCGAACGCGUGGGGAGCACACAGGAUUCGAUCCCCGGGUAGUC